ACAUGACAGUCGUACSAUGGAWAVCCAUUCGGGGUGGAUUAGUGGCGAACGGGUGAGUAACACGUGGGCAAUCUGCCCUUCACUCUGGGACAAGCCCUGGAAACGGGGUCUAAUACCGGAUACCACUCCUGCCUGCAUGGGCGGGGGUUGAAAGCUCCGGCGGUGAAGGAUGAGCCCGCGGCCUAUCAGCUUGUUGGUGGGGUAAUGGCCCACCAAGGCGACGACGGGUAGCCGGCCUGAGAGGGCGACCGGCCACACUGGGACUGAGACACGGCCCAGACUCCUACGGGAGGCAGCAGUGGGGAAUAUUGCACAAUGGGCGAAAGCCUGAUGCAGCGACGCCGCGUGAGGGAUGACGGCCUUCGGGUUGUAAACCUCUUUCAGCAGGGAAGAAGCGAAAGUGACGGUACCUGCAGAAGAAGCGCCGGCUAACUACGUGCCAGCAGCCGCGGUAAUACGUAGGGCGCAAGCGUUGUCCGGAAUUAUUGGGCGUAAAGAGCUCGUAGGCGGCUUGUCACGUCGGAUGUGAAAGCCCGAGGCUUAACCUCGGGUCUGCAUUCGAUACGGGCUAGCUAGAGUGUGGUAGGGGAGAUCGGAAUUCCUGGUGUAGCGGUGAAAUGCGCAGAUAUCAGGAGGAACACCGGUGGCGAAGGCGGAUCUCUGGGCCAUUACUGACGCUGAGGAGCGAAAGCGUGGGGAGCGAACAGGAUUAGAUACCCUGGUAGUCCACGCCGUAAACGUUGGGAACUAGGUGUUGGCGACAUUCCACGUCGUCGGUGCCGCAGCUAACGCAUUAAGUUCCCCGCCUGGGGAGUACGGCCGCAAGGCUAAAACUCAAAGGAAUUGACGGGGCCCGCACAAGCGGCGGAGCAUGUGGCUUAAUUCGACGCAACGCGAAGAACCUUACCAAGGCUUGACAUAUACCGGAAAGCAUUAGAGAUAGUGCCCCCCUUGUGGUCGGUAUAAAGUGGUGCAUGGCUGUCGUCAGCUCGUGUCGUGA
rnacentral:rRNA from 1 species